rnacentral:lncRNA from 1 species
GCCUUAGGCAGAGGACUCUGAAUUGUGUCAGAUUGGAGAAAACAUACUGAAAAUCUGAAUAUGUUUCCAUUGUUCUUUGUUCUGUGUGAUAUAGGAGACAACAUUGUCAACUUUUGCUACGAUGGACUACAAUACGAAACUGAAAAUUAAAUGAAACCCUUUCUCACCACAGUUACUUUUUUUUCAAGGUAUUCUAUCAUAGUCGUGAAGAGAUUCGCAUACAUCCAAAUCCAUAAAGUAGAGAAGAGCAGGUCCAAAAGGCCUUGAGUUUCUCACUGUUUAGAAAGGAAAUGUUAGUCCAUCAAAGAGAGGAGAUAGUGAUGGAGCAGAGCAGCUUACACAGUGGCAGCCAUGAAGCAGAGACAGCGCUAUACAGCAGGGACUCUGGUCAUGCAACAGCUCGUAAGGACAAGCUCCCUGGUGAUACAUUUUCAUCACUAGCGUCACAUCUUCCACAGUUCACCACAUUGCAAUAAUGGCAUCCUAUCAGGAAUCAACCAGGAGACUAAUCCAUUGGAUAGAUACUGAUAUAAUUCUCUCUGGAGAAUCGAUCGCAGACAAAUCCAGGAUGGUUCUUAGAUAAUCUACGUGAUUCUCAGUCCAAACAAGCUGAGGAUCAAAUUGAACCAUCAAACCACAGCUGAACAAGCAUGGCCAGAAGACGCUGGCAAUAGAAACAUCCGGCCUUGGUAUUUUCAUCCUCUUAACUGAGCAUGUGCAUUUCCGGCAGGAGUAGACCAUCUUCCAGUUUAGAGUUAUCGCUUAUUUGGCGCCUACAAGGAGAACAAACCAUCGUUGACACUAAAGAGCGAAAGACCUGGGGAGUCUCAAGGAUAGCCCUGACCUUUGAUAACUAUCCAAUAACAUUUUCACCUGUAUCUUGGUCUAUAAAAGUAGAAUACUUGAAAUUAUAUAUCUGUUUAUAGUUUUAUAUCAAGCAUAUAGAAUCAUUGGAAAAACUAGAGGUCUUUCGCUCUCUCCCUUCCCCCCUCUCUCCACGUGGCCAUGGUCAGCCUCUCUCUCUCUACCUUUUUUCUGUCUCCCUGCCUUUCUAAAAUAAAGCUCUAAAACUAUAAAAAAGAGGUCUUUGA